AGAGUUUGAUCCUGGCUCAGGAUGAACGCUAGCUACAGGCUUAACACAUGCAAGUCGAGGGGCAGCAUGACCUAGCAAUAGGUUGAUGGCGACCGGCGCACGGGUGAGUAACACGUAUCCAACCUACCGGUUAUUCCGGGAUAGCCUUUCGAAAGAAAGAUUAAUACCGGAUAGUAUAACGAGAAGGCAUCUUUUUGUUAUUAAAGAAUUUCGAUAACCGAUGGGGAUGCGUUCCAUUAGUUUGUUGGCGGGGUAACGGCCCACCAAGACAUCGAUGGAUAGGGGUUCUGAGAGGAAGGUCCCCCACAUUGGAACUGAGACACGGUCCAAACUCCUACGGGAGGCAGCAGUGAGGAAUAUUGGUCAAUGGACGAGAGUCUGAACCAGCCAAGUAGCGUGAAGGAUGACUGCCCUAUGGGUUGUAAACUUCUUUUAUAUGGGAAUAAAGUGAGCCACGUGUGGCUUUUUGUAUGUACCAUACGAAUAAGGAUCGGCUAACUCCGUGCCAGCAGCCGCGGUAAUACGGAGGAUCCGAGCGUUAUCCGGAUUUAUUGGGUUUAAAGGGAGCGUAGGCGGACUAUUAAGUCAGCUGUGAAAGUUUGCGGCUCAACCGUAAAAUUGCAGUUGAUACUGGUCGUCUUGAGUGCAGUAGAGGUAGGCGGAAUUCGUGGUGUAGCGGUGAAAUGCUUAGAUAUCACGAAGAACUCCGAUUGCGAAGGCAGCUUACUGGACUGUAACUGACGCUGAUGCUCGAAAGUGUGGGUAUCAAACAGGAUUAGAUACCCUGGUAGUCCACACAGUAAACGAUGAAUACUCGCUGUUUGCGAUAUACAGUAAGCGGCCAAGCGAAAGCAUUAAGUAUUCCACCUGGGGAGUACGCCGGCAACGGUGAAACUCAAAGGAAUUGACGGGGGCCC
rnacentral:rRNA from 1 species